GGAGACGUGGCUGAGCGGUCCAAAGCAACGGUUUGCUAAACCGUGGGGAUCUUAAAAGUCCCCCGUGGGUUCGAAUCCCACCGUCUCCG
rnacentral:tRNA from 2 species